GUGCUUGCUUCAGCAGCACAUAUACCAUGAUCAGAAUGACAGAGAAGAUUAGCAUAGCCCCUGUGCAAGAAAGAAAUGCAAAUUUAUGAUGCAUUCCAUAUUUUU
ensembl:snRNA U6 U6 spliceosomal RNA